rnacentral:tRNA from 1 species
AGCCCCAUAGUUCAAGGGAUAGAACGUUGGUUUCCUAAACCGAAAAUGCAAGUUCGAGUCUUGCUGGGGCUACUA